rnacentral:miRNA from 1 species
GUGUCAAUCCAUCUCAUGAUGUAGAUUCUUCUUCACUGAUCCCAUACUUUAUCAUGGAGGAUAUCUUUCUCAAGGGACUGGUAUCAUGAUAACUUU